GACGAACGCUGGCGGCGUGCUUAACACAUGCAAGUCGAACGGAAAGGCCCUGCUUUUGUGGGGUGCUCGAGUGGCGAACGGGUGAGUAACACGUGAGUAACCUGCCCUUGACUUUGGGAUAACUUCAGGAAACUGGGGCUAAUACCGGAUAGGAGCUCCUGCUGCAGGGGGGGGGUUGGAAAGUUUCGGCGGUUGGGGAUGGACUCGCGGCUUAUCAGCUUGUUGGUGGGGUAGUGGCUUACCAAGGCUUUGACGGGUAGCCGGCCUGAGAGGGUGACCGGCCACAUUGGGACUGAGAUACGGCCCAGACUCCUACGGGAGGCAGCAGUGGGGAAUAUUGCACAAUGGGCGCAAGCCUGAUGCAGCAACGCCGCGUGCGGGAUGACGGCCUUCGGGUUGUAAACCGCUUUCGCCUGUGACGAAGCGUUAGUGACGGUAAUGGGUAAAGAAGCACCGGCUAACUACGUG
rnacentral:rRNA from 1 species